GACGAACGCUGGCGGCGUGCUUAACACAUGCAAGUCGAACGAUGAAGCCCAGCUUGCUGGGUGGAUUAGUGGCGAACGGGUGAGUAACACGUGAGCAACCUGCCCUUGACUCUGGGAUAAGCGCUGGAAACGGCGUCUAAUACCGGAUACGACCUGCCCCGGCAUCGGGUGCGGGUGGAAAGUUUUUCGGUCAAGGAUGGACUCGCGGCCUAUCAGGUAGUUGGUGAGGUAAUGGCUCACCAAGCCGACGACGGGUAGCCGGCCUGAGAGGGUGACCGGCCACACUGGGACUGAGACACGGCCCAGACUCCUACGGGAGGCAGCAGUGGGGAAUAUUGCACAAUGGGCGAAAGCCUGAUGCAGCAACGCCGCGUGGGGGAUGACGGCCUUCGGGUUGUAAACCUCUUUUAGUAGGGAAGAAGGGCUUCGGCUUGACGGUACCUGCAGAAAAAGCACCGGCUAACUACGUGCCAGCAGCCGCGGUAAUACGUAGGGUGCAAGCGUUGUCCGGAAUUAUUGGGCGUAAAGAGCUCGUAGCGGUUUGUCGCGUCUGCUGUGAAAACCCGAGGCUCGACCUCGGGCCUGCAGUGGGUACGGGCAGACUAGAGUGCGGUAGGGGAGAAUGGAAUUCCUGGUGUAGCGGUGGAAUGCGCAGAUAUCAGGAGGAACACCGAUGGCGAAGGCAGUUCUCUGGGCCGUUACUGACGCUGAGGAGCGAAAGCGUGGGGAGCGAACAGGAUUAGAUACCCUGGUAGUCCACGCCGUAAACGUUGGGAACUAGAUGUGGGGACCUUUCCACGGUCUCCGUGUCGCAGCUAACGCAUUAAGUUCCCCGCCUGGGGAGUACGGCCGCAAGGCUAAAACUCAAAGGAAUUGACGGGGGCCCGCACAAGCGGCGGAGCAUGCGGAUUAAUUCGAUGCAACGCGAAGAACCUUACCAAGGCUUGACAUAUACCGGAAACUUCCAGAAAUGGUUGCCCCGCAAGGUCGGUAUACAGGUGGUGCAUGGUUGUCGUCAGCUCGUGUCGUGAGAUGUUGGGUUAAGUCCCGCAACGAGCGCAACCCUCGUUCUAUGUUGCCAGCACGUCAUGGUGGGAACUCAUAGGAGACUGCCGGGGUCAACUCGGAGGAAGGUGGGGAUGACGUCAAAUCAUCAUGCCCCUUAUGUCUUGGGCUUCACGCAUGCUACAAUGGCCGGUACAAAGGGCUGCGAUACCGUAAGGUGGAGCGAAUCCCAAAAAGCCGGUCUCAGUUCGGAUUGAGGUCUGCAACUCGACCUCAUGAAGUCGGAGUCGCUAGUAAUCGCAGAUCAGCAACGCUGCGGUGAAUACGUUCCCGGGCCU
rnacentral:rRNA from 1 species